UACGAAGGGGGCUAGCGUUGCUCGGAAUGACUGGGCGUAAAGGGCGCGUAGGCGGAUUGUACAGUCAGGCGUGAAAUUCCCGGGCUCAACCUGGGGGCUGCGCUUGAGACGUGCGAUCUUGAGUGGGGAAGAGGGUCGUGGAAUUCCCAGUGUAGGGGUGAAAUUCGUAGAUAUUGGGAAGAACACCGGUGGCGAAGGCGGCGACCUGGUCCUUGACUGACGCUGAGGCGCGAAAGCGUGGGGAGCAAACAGG
rnacentral:rRNA from 1 species